rnacentral:tRNA from 1 species
CAUUACAAAUGCUAUGCUCUAACCUCUGAGCUAAGCGGGC